AUUGAACGCUGGCGGAAUGCUUUACACAUGCAAGUCGAACGGCAGCACGGACUUCGGUCUGGUGGCGAGUGGCGAACGGGUGAGUAACAUAUCGGAACGUAUCCGAUCAUGGGGGAUCACGAGUCGAAAGAUUCGCUAAUACCGCAUACGCCCUACGGGGGAAAGCCGGGGACCUUCGGGCCUGGCGUUAAUGGAGCGGCCGAUAUCUGAUUAGCUAGUUGGUGAGGUAAAGGCUCACCAAGGCGACGAUCAGUAGCUGGUCUGAGAGGACGACCAGCCACACUGGAACUGAGACACGGUCCAGACUCCUACGGGAGGCAGCAGUGGGGAAUUUUGGACAAUGGGCGCAAGCCUGAUCCAGCCAUUCCGCGUGAGUGAAGAAGGCCUUCGGGUUGUAAAGCUCUUUCGCAAGGGAAGAAAACUUAGCCACUAACAUUGGUUGAGGUUGACGGUACCUUGAUAAGAAGCACCGGCUAACUACGUGCCAGCCGCCGCGGUAA
rnacentral:rRNA from 1 species